rnacentral:lncRNA from 1 species
GUGAGUCGGGAGAUCUCCUCCUCGAGCCUAGCAUCACGGUCGAUCGACAACUUCAGUUGGUCCACCAGCGUUGCCUUCUCUGCCUCGGUAGUUUCGGCCCUAUUCUUCCAGGCCAUCCGGAUGUCGCCGAACCUCUGGUACCCGACCUCCAGCUCGAACAUAUUGUAGAUCAGCUGCAAAUAGAAGAUCGAUCGUCAGAAAAAUGAAAUGAUAAAAAUAAUAAUGAAAGAGGAAGAAGACGAAGGGCUCACCU